GUUGACAGUUGCCUUAACGGUGAGUGUCUUGUCAUUUCUCUAAUGUAUAGGUUCGCUAGUUCAGGUAGAAGGGAUUUCACACUGACGCACAGUAUUCUAAAGUAUAUAAAGACUGUUUUGCAAAGAUCAAUAACUGCUCCUGGAGAACUGUGGUAUCCGAUAGCACUUUAACUUUUUCGAACAGCUUUAGAUCGUCGAGCCUGAAUUGGUGUCAUGGUAUACAAUCAGGUCCAGCGGAGAUGUAAGACCUGAGCUUCACGGAGGCUCUUUCAACCGCGCUAUCUUCGAUGGAAAGAAUACCCGUAUACGACGCUGGAGACACGAACACGAAGAGCCUAAAUCUAUGUUUGAAAAACAAAAAGAACACCAGUCGAAACACAAAUAGAUCGUAUAUCUUAAUUAGUUUAAAGCAAGAAUUGUAACUCCCCUCCUCUCACCUUUAAUCCCCACUAGGUCGUAGUCGGCCGCGAGAAAUAAAAAAAAGUCCUCCCUCCUUUUCCCGCUAAUCUAGAAUUAAUAAAAAGUGUACUUGGCUCAGUUAAACUUAAAAUUGUAUCGUGCCGUGUCAAAUAAACCAUAUUUAAA